GUUCGCGAUACGCGACUUUCGAAUUAUGGAGGGGUGGAUAAAAUGAGGAUGACAUGUGGGAAGUGCGUGGUGGUUUGUGAAUGCUCCCAUGCAGAUGUAUAUUAGUUUCUUUGAUGGUUCCAAUGCUAUAGCUGCUCAUCUGGAUAAUGAAACAUCACACUGACAGUCAUCAACCCCCCUACAACAGCUACUACUAUGAAGUGCUCAUCUGUGCAGUUAGUGCUUGUGGAGCAUCUCAGAUGGGGACUAGUAGAUUUGUGUCAAUGUGCUGAUUCGGGACUCAGCACGUACUGUUCAGAUUUGGCCAGUGAAAUGAUCUUGAAGGGACAGAAGGUAGGCCUACAUGAAAUUUACAAGUGCAUCAUUCUCAGGGAAUGGAGUUUCACAGGCAUUGCCAGCCAACAACACUGCCGUGGUUGCUGUGUUGAAAAAUAAAUUCUAAGGAAUCGUCAUUUUCUUCUGAUGUUUUGUCAAGUGGCAAGAUGUCCCCUAACAAUGUUUUCAUUUGAAUUGUUUUCAAACCAUUUCGAAUAAACUGGGGAUUUUUUUCUUUGUCCAGUGACUUUCGAGUGCAACGAAAAUGUUUCUUCCUAAGAUAAUCUGCCCAGUCCAGA